GGGCCCGCACAAGCGGUGGAGCAUGUGGUUUAAUUCGAUGAUACGCGAGGAACCUUACCAGGGCUUAAAUGUAGUGGGACAGGUCUAGAGAUAGACCCUUCUUCGGACUCAUUACAAGGUGCUGCAUGGUUGUCGUCAGCUCGUGCCGUGAGGUGUCAGGUUAAGUCCUAUAACGAGCGCAACCCCUAUCGUUAGUUGCCAGCGAGUAAUGUCGGGAACUCUAACGAAACUGCCAGUGCAAACUGUGAGGAAGGUGGGGAUGACGUCAAAUCAUCACGGCCCUUACGUCCUGGGCUACACACGUGCUACAAUGGCCGGUACAGAGAGCAGCCACUUCGCAAGAAGGAGCGAAUCUACAAAACCUAUCUCAGUUCGGAUCGGAGUCUGCAACUCGACUCCGUGAAGCUGGAAUC
rnacentral:rRNA from 1 species